CCCGGUGGGCACGUCCUCGGCUGGGGCAAGAGCCAUCCCUGGGCCUCCGAGGCCCGCCUGCGUGAGCGUCUGUGUCCCUCCACGGGGCCUCUCCAAGGUGACAUGGUCAGACCCCCACCUUCUUGAUCCUCUCACUUCCCUUAGGGCCCCAGUGACAUCUACGUGCGCGUCCCCGGAAACACUAGGGGCUAUUUGCUGGGAAUCCAUAACCGCGGGGGCCUGGAAUGGAAAUUGGUUGGAGGAUUUUACUGCCUGAAGCAUGGUUAAUGUCUCAUUGGCUUAUGAAUCAGCUGCAGACCUCAUGCGCCAACCAUGAGGAGGCUCUUGCAUCAGGGACGUGCUUGCCAGGAUGGACGGAGGAAAAAAACAGAAGUCAGAAGACAAUUGAAUGCCAUCUUUCAUGUUCCAAAAGAAAAUAAUUGCCAACUUAGAAUUCUGUGCUCUGUGAAAACAUCCUCUAAAAAAAAGAAUAAACAGAAGCUGGCAUAGCCGAUGACUCCUCGUGAGAAAAGCGCUGGAUCUUAAUAGUGAGGAAAUGCCUUGUACAGCUUCCGAGCAAGAUCCCAUGUGUCACCGCAUUGCUUCCUGGUUACAAGCCCGGCUUCCUUCCUCUGUGACAACUUGUCACCCUGCCUGACCACGCUGACCGGGCCACAUGAGCAAAUGCCCUCAGGGGACGAGCUUGGUGGAAUCUGCACCCUGACUAGAGUCUUCCUCCGGUGACUUCUUCCAGCCUCCCAUGUGCCUUGGACAGGCCAUGGAUGUCAUCCCCAUCUCAUUUGUAACUUGCUUCCGUGAUGACACACCACUGUCCCUGAGACACAUCUCACCCCAGUGACACGGGCUGGCUCAUCCAAAGCCACCAUCACCCCAAUUUUCAGUGCAGCUUUGGCUGCCGGGCUUCCAGGUGCCAUCAAGCAAAGGCAGUGCUGAGAGCGGAGGAGAUGCUAAAAAUGAUAAAAAUACGGAAAUUUUGAACUAUUUAUUUAUUGGCCAACAGAACAAUUACAUUGCAUUGCUGGAUCUAUAAACUAGUUCUGUUAAUAAAUAUGUUUCAAAAGUAAAAUUCUUGUUGGGGUGCCUGGGUGGCUCAGUCGGUGAAGCGUCUGCC